GGCGGCGUAGCCAAGUGGUAAGGCAGGGGCCUGCAAAGCCCUUAUGCAUCGGUUCGAUUCCGAUCGCCGCCUCCA
rnacentral:tRNA from 1 species